UUCGGGCAGAAGAAGGACCGGUAUGAGAUCAAUUCCCUGGUGCGGUACCAGUGCACGGAGGGGUUUGUCCAGCGCCACAUGCCCACCAUCCGGUGCCAGCCCAGCGGGCACUGGGAGGAGCCUCGGAUCACCUGCACAGACCCCACCACCUACAAACGCAGACUACAGAAGCGGAGCUCACGGCACCCUCGGAGGAGCCGCCCCAGCACAGCCCACUGAGAAGAGUUUCCAGGACGCACCCAGGACGCUGAGCCCAGGAGCCUGCCAGGCUGACGUGCAUCCCACCCAGAUGGUGUCCUCUUCUUGUCGCUUUUUGUCAUAUAAGGAAUCCCAUUAAAGAAGGAAAAAAAUAAAUCCCACAUUGUGUAUGCACCCACUCACCCCUCCAAAUCAGCAAAACCGCAUCUAAUUUGUCCGCUGAAUGCCAAAGCAAAGCAAACUUAUUAUAACCCGUGGACUGAGUUUAGAGACAUUUCUUCAAUUUCCCAUCGUGCCUUUCCAGGGACCAGUGCAGGGACAGGGGGAGAAGGGGAGGGGUUAAGUUAAAUAAAGAAGAU
rnacentral:lncRNA from 1 species